AUUGAACGCUGGCGGCAGGCCUAACACAUGCAAGUCGAGCGGAUGAAGGGAGCUUGCUCCUGGAUUCAGCGGCGGACGGGUGAGUAAUGCCUAGGAAUCUGCCUGGUAGUGGGGGAUAACGUCCGGAAACGGGCGCUAAUACCGCAUACGUCCUGAGGGAGAAAGUGGGGGAUCUUCGGACCUCACGCUAUCAGAUGAGCCUAGGUCGGAUUAGCUAGUUGGUGGGGUAAGGCCUACCAAGGCGACGAUCCGUAACUGGUCUGAGAGGAUGAUCAGUCACACUGGAACUGAGACACGGUCCAGACUCCUACGGGAGGCAGCAGUGGGGAAUAUUGGACAAUGGGCGAAAGCCUGAUCCAGCCAUGCCGCGUGUGUGAAGAAGGUCUUCGGUUUGUAAAGCACUUUAAGUUGGGAGGAAGGGCAGUAAGUUAAUACCUUGCUGUUUUGACGUUACCAACAGAAUAAGCACCGGCUAACUUCGUG
rnacentral:rRNA from 1 species